UUUGCCACUUCAUAAUGAACAAACUCCGAAAUAACGUUUGCAAAUCGUGCAAAAUUAUUAACAAAAUAAUGGUUAGAAAAAAAUUAAUAUUUGUGAUGAUAAUCCACAAGUCAGAAAGAAUCACUGGUCCAUAUUUCUUCAAAAAUGGAGCAGUCCAUAAUGUUACAGUCAAUGGGGAAUGCUUUAGAGCAAUGACUUUUUCGCAUCUGAAUUUGGUGAUGUUGAUGUGGAGGACCUUUGGUUUCAGCAAGAUGGCACUUCAUGCCAUACAGCCAACGAAACAAUUAAUUUUUGGAAGGAAACUUUUGGGGAGUCUCUAAGAUCGUGCAAUUCAACACCGAUGCACUAUUUUUUGUGGGGUUAUAGGAGGUCGCUUUUUGUCAGAUAAGCCCGUGAACAGUAACGCCUUGGAAGAAAAUAUACGGCGCUUUACCUGACAUAUGGCUCCGAUUGCUGCAAAAAGUCGUCGAAAAUUCGGCCUCUCCGCUGGAAUUUGUUCCAGCCAGCAGCGGUGGUCGCUAGCCCGAAAUCACUUUUAAAACAUAUUUUCAAACCCUUAUACUUAUAAUAAAGCUUAAUUCUAGUCGA